GGAGCGCCGCUGCGCCUGCUGGGAGUUGUAGUUUGUGCAAGGAGGGCGGGCGGCCCAUGCUAGACUAUAAGAGGAGUUGAUAAGCGCAAGCCCCGCUGGGGGGCGCGGUGCAAACUGCUACCUCCCUGCCUGUUCAUGUGCGCUCUCCUCCAGCCAGGCUCCUGGGCAGCCCCAGCCUCACCCCCUUAGCCUGCCAGGUCCCUAGGCCAUGCUGAGCCUACAGCCUCUCCAUCCACCCACCAAGUCUUCAGGCCAAGCGAAGCCCCUGGCUCCCUUUCACCCACCCACCCCUCAGGCCCCCUAGGCUUUCCUGAGCCCUGGCCUCUGCCUCCUGCUAGACAUGUUUCCUUGGGCCGUCCCCACCCUACACUCCUGCUGCAUCCCACAGCAGCCAGGUAGCUCCAAAUCCCCAUCUCAUGCUGUAGUUCUGCAUGGCACCUGGUCUGCUUGGAACUCAGCCUCCCAGGCUAGAGUCCUGCUCCAACCCAUUAUGGUUUCCAAGUGUCCCGCAAGCCCAGUCUCACCUGUUAACACGUUACAGGGUCAUUCUCCUCCUGAGCCCCAGCCUUGCGUUCCAGCCCAACAGUGCUGUGUCCUGUCUCCCUUUGGCCUACUCUAGAGCAUAGGCUGUUCUGACUCUCUAGCUUGCAGUAUUCACUAUAAAAGCAGCAGAGAAUCCUGUGGCACCUUAUAGACUAUAUCCACCUUCUGCAGUAACACCUCAAGGAGCAACGUGAAAUCAUCUAGAGUCCAGUGAGAUCAGAGUCCUGGGGCAGGAAAUACAAUGCUGAUUAGGGCUUGUCAUGGUUUGCUUUUCUGGUGGCCCUUUGAUUGGAUUUAACAGCCAAGAACCAGAUUUUUAAAGGUAUUUAGGUGCCUGAUGAUACAAAGGACUUGGCUACGCUUGAGAGUUGCAGCGCUGGUGGUGACUUUACAGCGCUGUAACUUACUCCUGAUCCACAUUGGCAAGGCACA